rnacentral:misc_RNA from 1 species
GAUCAUUACUGAUUUGCUUAUUGCACCACAUGUGUUUUUUAUUGAACAAAUUUCUUUGGUGGCGGGAGCAAUCCUACCGCCAGAGGUUAUAACUAAACUAAACUUUUUAUUUACAGUCAAACUUGAUUUAUUAUUACAAUAGUCAAAACUUUCAACAACGGAUCUCUUGGUUCUCGCAUCGAUGAAGAACGCAGCGAAAUGCGAUACGUAAUAUGAAUUGCAGAUAUUCGUGAAUCAUCGAAUCUUUGAACGCACAUUGCGCCCUUUGGUAUUCCAAAGGGCAUGCCUGUUUGAGCGUCAUUUCUCCCUCAAACCCCCGGGUUUGGUGUUGAGCAAUACGCUAGGUUUGUUUGAAAGAAUUUAACGUGGAAACUUAUUUUAAGCGACUUAGGUUUAUCCAAAAACGCUUAUUUUGCUAGUGGCCACCACAAUUUAUUUCAUAACUUUGACCUCAAAUCAGGUAGGACUACCCGCUGAACUUAAGCAUAUCAUAAAGCGGAG